rnacentral:tRNA from 1 species
GAGGGUAUAGCUCAGUGGUAGCGUGUGUGCUUAGCAUGCAUGAGGUUCUGGGUUCAAUCCCCAGUGUCUCCA